rnacentral:rRNA from 1 species
UUCUGUAGGUGAACUGCGGAAGGUCAUUGUCGAGAACAUUAAAUGUCCCGGCGAGGAGCGCAAGUCGUGUGAUGGAUCGACGAAGCAAGGUAUGGACGCCUUGCAUCGCCUUCGACGCGCGGGCGCUUUGCCUCCAAAGUUUGCCAGUGCGGCCUUCGGGAAAAGACAAUAAUAAUGGGCACAGCUGUUGUGCCAAGGGAAGAGUAGACUAUCACCUCACGGCAUCCCUCCUUUGUGCGCAUUCAUGAGGUUUGGCGAGGCGGGGCGUUAUGUCCCUUGACUGUACGACUCUCGGCAACGGAUAUCUUGGCUCUCGCAUCGAUGAAGAACGCAGCGAAAUGCGAUAAGUGUUGCGAAUUGCAGAAUCCCCGUGAACCAUCCAUUUCUUGAAUUCAAGUGCGCCCGAGGAUGCUAUCCGAGGGCACACCCGCAUGGCCGUGAUGCGUUACCUCGCUCCUUGCACGGGAUCCUUUCGUCGCAGACAAAUGGCUCACGUGAACGUGCUUGGAAGCGAUAAAUGACCCCCCCCACCGUGGUCGCGUGACGGGUGUCAAGUCCGAGGAGAUUGUGGGACUCUGAAUCGACAGGCGGUGGAACGUCUUCCGUUGGAUUCAGGGCGACUGUAGCUUCGUACGUUGCGACAUCUGGCUCUCCUAAACCCUGCCCAAGCGAUGCCUGUGCCAUCGUCACCCAAUCAGCGAGCUAGCCC